UAUGAUAGGUGGUGCAUGGCCGUUCUUAGUUCGNGGAGUGAUCUGUCUGCUUAAUUGCGUUUCAAAAUCUAAACCUGAGCGACAAGGUGCUGCUAUCGAAACUGUCUUUGAGUGUGAACUAUAAGUCUUUUGACUUAUGACCAUCACUCUAGACGUUUAUGUUUUGGUGUUGGCCCUUGAUGCUCAUUUGAACGCAACGGACGUGAUUGCAACCCCUUGUUGAGAUUUAUCCGAUCUCUACGUUCACUGAACCACACUCUUUAGCGAGAGCAGUG
rnacentral:rRNA from 1 species